CCGGCGUAUUUGAGUGGCAGCACAAAUAAAUAAAUACAAGGGGCAAAAGCUUUUCCACGAGCCCCACCCCCUCGGAACGCCAGCCCCUCACCGCCCACGUGCUCGUAAGAAACUUUCAUUUAUGGCGACGUCGAAAAGCCACUGCGACUGCGCUGCCAUGUACACAGGUGUUUCGGUUGUAUUAUUUAAGUUUAUCGUUUGCAUUCAUCGUAGAUUAUUUAAUACGCAGGUGGGUAAUUGCAGCCAAAAAAACUCAACAAAAACUGCGGUUACACUGCAAAGGAUGUUCUAUAAGUUUUUGGGAAAUCUAAACAUUUAAUUGUCAUGCAGAAAUUUUUUUCCAGGAAUUUUUUUACAUACUCGUAUGUAUUUACAUAGUCAAAAAAUAACGCUUUAGUCGAGCUCCCCGACUACCAGAUACCCGUUACUCAGCUAGA